CCUUCGAUAGCUCAGUUGGAAGAGCGUGGGACUGUAAUCGGCUAUUUCCGAAAUCCCGAGGCCACCGGUUCGAUCCCGGUUUGAAGGA